UUCAAGGGGGGGAUGUAUCUGGACAAUUAGUUGUAAUUUUAAGGAAACCCGCUCCACGUGUUCACUUUUCGGUUCAACGAGAAUGGAAUUUUUUUUAUCCUCCCUCUAUAGUAGUAUUACUUUUGGGAAAAUACAUAAAAACCCCCAAUGCUCGGAUUAAUUAUGACGCAUCUAAUCUUUGCGGGCGACCUAUUACCCUCCUGAGCAUUUUAAAAGUGGAAUUUAUAACCCUUAAAAAGUCACACCCAGAUAUGUGUUGGACAGUGUAGUGCACACGCCUGACACGUGUACAUUAAAAAAAAUCAUUUAUUUUCUUAGUCUUUUCUUUAUUUUUCUGUUUUUCUUUUUCCCUUUCCUCUGUUCUUCCUCACUCUUUCUUUCUCUUUCUCUUUUUAUUUUCUUCUUUAUAUUUCCUCCAUUUUCGCCGGAGCUCCAUCCAUGGCUGCCACAAUUUCAGAUCAACCCACCACUCACUUGAGUUUUCUACUUCACACAAUCGACUUUCCAUCAUUAUCCACUAAUUUUGUGAUUUUUAAUGAAUUUAACAAAUUAGAAAUCUGAAAAUUUUCUCUUCCUCAAUCAAUUUAAAGACUUGAUUUUUCAUGCUUAAUGACGUGUGAAAGCUCAGCGACAGCAAAAGAGUAAAUUUAGGAGCUGAAAUCAGUAGAGGAAAAACCAACUGGAUAUCACCAUUAAUGACCACAGUAGAAACUUGAAGCUUGAGCGUGAAGAUCUAUAACGAAGCUGGGAUAUGAAUGGUUGCAAACAUUUUCGAUGGGAAGGUAGUAUUCCCGUGGAUGAAACAAUGGAGACGAAGUUUAAAAAGCCUCCUGUUGAUAGAGAUACCGCAACCUCACGUAUCACUAGAGAUACCGUGAAAUUUGACUUGCAGUUUAAGCUUAUGGAAGCUCAAGAAAAAUUGACCUUUUGGAGGUCUUGCUUAAAGAAUCUAAAGAAAAACAAAGUUUUUUCAAGGCUCACCUUAGAGACACUCAACGCGAGAAAAAUGUUUUGAAAGAAAAACGGAAGGUUUGAAAGAUUAUUUGUGCUAUCUUGUUGUUGUUUAUUAUUUCUAUGUAUUUUUUGUUAUUUUUAUAUAUUUUGUUUUUACUAGUUGUAUGUUUUCACGUAUUAUGUAAUCGGCACCUUUUAUGUACUAA